AUGGGAUCAUCUGCCAAGAGUCAGGAAAUCGGGUCAAAAAGAAAGUGGGAGAACCAACACCAACAUACAGCGAAGCACAUCGCAUGGCAUUCCUUUGGGUACCAAGGCCACUAUCCGCAACAGAGGCCUCCAUGGAAUGGUGCUUCACUCACCCCCUCGCCAGGGAGGCAAAAUAAUUUCCAUGUUUCAGGAGAUCGAUUCUUUCUGACGUCCAGCCCAUACCAACAAGAUCUGGAAAGUAGGUACAUUCAGGACAAAAAGAACGGUGUAAUCACUUGUUUGGUCUGUGGCAAUGAAGGACAUUACAGUUCUGAGUGCCAUUUCAAGGACCAAGAGCACAAAAUCAUUUGCGCGGUCUGUAGCAAAAAUGGCCACUGUAGCAUGUGGUGUUGCCAGCAGAACAAGUCGGAGAAUCGAGCUUGCACCCGCUGUGGAGAGAUAGGGCAUACUACCAAUACACAUGGUCUCGGUUGCUCAAGCUGUGACGAGUAUCAUGACGAUGGAGAGUGCCGUUUAAGCCAAGUUAAAUGCUUUAUCUGUGAAUGUCAGGAUCAUUAUCUUGCUCAGUGCCCCUUGAAUUCAGUAUUGACUGAGGCAUUUCAGGGCCAGAGAGACAACUUCCAAGCGGCUCUGCGGCUUGCACUAUCAAAACAACGCAACCCAUCAUCUACACCUGCCAAGUGUUACGCAAAAUCAGAAGGAAGAGUACUGACCGCCAACAAGUCUAGUCCAAUUUGCUUUACAUGCCGUGAAGAAGGUCACUUUGCCUUUCAGUGUCCUCAGAACAGCCCCGGCCAGUCCGAAGAAUUUGAAGAGAGCAACACUAUAGCUACAUCGGCCAACCUGUCCAAAGAAUUAGAAGAACGGGACCCUGAUACAGGUACUGCUAAACAAUCAUCAGCAAGGAAGCCGAUAUUGUACGAUCAGUGUUGCCCCUCAAAAGCAAAAGUACUGACCCCCAACAAGUCUAGUCCAAUGGUUAGAACAUGUAAAACAAAAACAGAAGGGAAGAAAAGGAUGUGCUUUACAUACCGUGAAGAAGGUCACGAUGCCCGUAUGUGUCCGCAGAAGUUCGGAGCUAUAUCUGGCAACGCGUCAAAAAAAUUAGAAGAGAGAAGCACUAUAGCUACAUCCUCCAACAUGUCCAAAGUAUUGGAAGAACAGGACCCUGGUACUGCUAAACAUUCAUCAGAAAUGAAGUGGGUUCUUCGAUGUGUUAGCUGUGGUCAGGAAGGGCACAGGGCCAAGGGCUGUCCAACACGAGUGUUUAUAUGCUCCUUAUGCAAUGAAGAAGGCCACAAAGCCAAGAAAUGCCCUCAGAAGGGCCAGAAAUCAUCAGAAAUGAAGCGUAAAUCGAAUGUCCGAUGUGUAAGGUGUGGUGAGGAAGGGCACAGGCGCAAGAAGUGUCCGUUGAAACAUCAAUCAUAG
rnacentral:rRNA from 1 species